UAAAACAUUUCAAGAGGUUCUUUUAUACUUUUUGGGAGUUUUCCCUUUCCUGUUAUAUAUUUUUUAGGUUUUUUGUGCGUGUAUAUGUUCUGUAAAGGCUAAAAUCGCAAAGUUCCCUCCAUUGGACUCCUUUGUUUACUUCUGUAACAUAGCGACAUCACUACGCAACAUUCACGCUCCUAUUGGCUAGCACUCCAACACAUUGUACGUGAAAGGCCAAGGGGCGGGACAUCUCUAAGCUGGUUGACCAAUCACAACAGAGGCGGCCAGCUAACCAAUCAGAGCAGACUGGGCUCUGGUUUCAGACAGAGGGUGAAAAGAGCUUUUUGAACAUUAAAGCAUGGAGACAUGUCACAGUAGAGGCACUAAACACUAAUAUGAACCUAAAAAUGAGCAUUACAGGCCUCUUUAGGGUGUGUGUAGUGGUUUAACCUUGAGCUGGCUCAGCGUCAGCCUCAAAUUAUUAUUUUUCUGGGACAGAGAAUCCUCCUUCAAAGUGAAACAUUCUGCUGCAGUGCAGAUUCCUCUGACAUGUUUCAACAACACCUUGACUGCAUUCCUAGGACACAAGCUGAAACAGGGGAUUUUGUCUUUUCCCCAUAAUGUUAUCACCCCUUGAUUAUUACUUCAUUGUGUUUAUCACAUUGUUUCCUAAUGAUUAUGAGUCACUUUUAACAGAGAGCGCCCUUUGGCCCCUCAGUGUUAUUGGAGUGUGUCGUGGGAGCAGUGCCAAAGAUGAUAAGUUCUUUACGUCACUGACCGGUGUGAUUUAGAAAAAAAGAAAACUGCCAUGGUCCUUUAUUAUCCUGUGAUUGAGGUCACCUUGAUGUGCGCUGGUAUCCUACUGUGGGCUUUUUGUUGCCAUUUCGUAAGGAGGCGCAUAGAAGCAGAAAGAUUGUCCACGAUGCCGGCUAACUCUCCCUCUGUGUAUGUGAUCCCCAUAUAUGAAGAGGAGCAGGUGGGAGAGGAAGACGAGGAAAUGAUGGACGUAUAUGAAGCUUAUUUUCAACCUCCUUACAGAGAGCCUCCCAUGUACUGCUCAAGAAAUGUCAGCCCUCCUCCAUACAGGUUCGAACCACCAUCCUGUCCAGACCCCCCUCCAUCAUACUCAGAUCUUCAACCUUACUCAGAGCGACCCUGAUCCUCCACCUCAUCCUUCAUACACUUCAAACAUCCUCUACUCUAAACAAACUAUACUUUUUUUUUUACAUAACAUUCCUAUGGAAUCAAAUAAGGGUCACUUACAGUAGAGUUUGACAUUGUGAAAUGAUGUGCAGAAACUAUUUCCAAACGUGAUUGUAAAUAAGAUUUUGCAAGACCUGUCUGUAUUGGAAAAUUGUAAAAAAAAACACGAAUGAAUGAAGAAUUUCAGCCCUGAAGUACCUUUUAUUAAUGUGCUUUGAGCCAUAAUUUAAAAGCCUGGGUUUAAACUCACAGUCAUUAACAUGUUUCAUAUUACAUUACAAAAAGCACAACAUAAUUUCACAAUAUCUUUUCGACCCUUAUUUGAGCCCAUACAGGUAACUGUUAACGUUAGUGCUUGUACGUGAGUAAGUGUAUACGAUUAAUCUACCUGUAAGCAAUCCACUGUGUGGAAAAGGAGAGACUGGUUUUGACUGUUUUAAAUACUAAAGUUUCAUACUUAACCUUGUUUAAACACUGCCAUAUGUACAAUAUGCAUACCUAAAAGAGAUUCAGUAUUUAAGUUAAGGCACUUGUUUACAUGCUUGAAUAUUACAGAGGCAACUUUUUUAACAUACAGUAUGUUAUUUACAAAAUAAAGUAAUUUAUAUUUGUGAAUUCAA